rnacentral:rRNA from 1 species
GACGAACGCUGGCGGCGUGCUUAACACAUGCAAGUCGAACGGAAAGGCCCUGCUUUUGUGGGGUGCUCGAGUGGCGAACGGGUGAGUAACACGUGAGCAACCUGCCCUUGACCUUGGGAUAACUUCAGGAAACUGGGGCUAAUACCGGAUAGGAGCUCCUGCUGCAUGGUGGGGGUUGGAAAGUUUCGGCGGUUGGGGAUGGACUCGCGGCUUAUCAGCUUGUUGGUGGGGUAGUGGCUUACCAAGGCUUUGACGGGUAGCCGGCCUGCGAGGGUGACCGGCCAAAUUGGGACUGAGGUACGGCCCAGACUCCUACGGGAGGCAGCAGGGGGGAAUAUUGAACAAUGGGCGGAAGCCUGAGGCAGCAACGCCGCGUGCGGGAUGACGGCCUUCGGGUUGUAAACCGCUUUCGCCUGUGACGAAGCGUGAGUGACGGUAAUGGGUAAAGAAGCACCGGCUAACUACGUG